rnacentral:ncRNA from 1 species
CCUUUGAUGUUGGCUUUUCCUGUCACCACAAAACAGAAUUCACCAAGUGUUGGUCAGUUUACCCAUUAACAAUGAACACGAGCUGGGUUUAGACUGCCAUGAGACAAGUU